CUGCAGUGAUGCGUUUCUUAGGACACCUUUGGAUUUGCCAUGAAAAUGAAUCAGUUCUGAGCAGU